rfam:Felis catus isolate Cinnamon breed Abyssinian chromosome A3, whole genome shotgun sequence.
GUCUGGGUGGCUCAGUUGGUUGAGAGUCUGACUUCAGCUCAGGUCAUGAUCUCACAGUUUGUGAGUUCGAGCCCCACAUCAGGCA